rnacentral:rRNA from 1 species
GGGACACGUGGUAUCCUGUCUGAAUAUGGGGGGACCAUCCUCCAAGGCUAAAUACUCCUGACUGACCGAUAGUGAACCAGUACCGUGAGGGAAAGGCGAAAAGAACCCCGGCGAGGGGAGUGAAAAAGAACCUGAAACCGUGUACGUACAAGCAGUGGGAGCACGCUUAGGCGUGUGACUGCGUACCUUUUGUAUAAUGGGUCAGCGACUUAUAUUCUGUAGCAAGGUUAACCGAAUAGGGGAGCCGAAGGGAAACCGAGUCUUAACUGGGCGUUAAGUUGCAGGGUAUAGACCCGAAACCCGGUGAUCUAGCCAUGGGCAGGUUGAAGGUUGGGUAACACUAACUGGAGGACCGAACCGACUAAUGUUGAAAAAUUAGCGGAUGACUUGUGGCUGGGGGUGAAAGGCCAAUCAAACCGGGAGAUAGCUGGUUCUCCCCGAAAGCUAUUUAGGUAGCGCCUCGUGAAUUCAUCUCCGGGGGUAGAGCACUGUUUCGGCAAGGGGGUCAUCCCGACUUACCAACCCGAUGCAAACUGCGAAUACCGGAGAAUGUUAUCACGGGAGACACACGGCGGGUGCUAACGUCCGUCGUGAAGAGGGAAACAACCCAGACCGCCAGCUAAGGUCCCAAAGUCAUGGUUAAGUGGGAAACGAUGUGGGAAGGCCCAGACAGCCAGGAUGUUGGCUUAGAAGCAGCCAUCAUUUAAAGAAAGCGUAAUAGCUCACUGGUCGAGUCGGCCUGCGCGGAAGAUGUAACGGGGCUAAACCAUGCACCGAAGCUGCGGCAGCGACACUAUGUGUUGUUGGGUAGGGGAGCGUUCUGUAAGCCUGUGAAGGUGUACUGUGAGGUAUGCUGGAGGUAUCAGAAGUGCGAAUGCUGACAUAAGUAACGAUAAAGCGGGUGAAAAGCCCGCUCGCCGGAAGACCAAGGGUUCCUGUCCAACGUUAAUCGGGGCAGGGUGAGUCGACCCCUAAGGCGAGGCCGAAAGGCGUAGUCGAUGGGAAACAGGUUAAUAUUCCUGUACUUGGUGUUACUGCGAAGGGGGGACGGAGAAGGCUAUGUUGGCCGGGCGACGGUUGUCCCGGUUUAAGCGUGUAGGCUGGUU